rnacentral:misc_RNA from 1 species
AAUUCUCAAUCCUCUUCAGCUUUGUCUGAAGGGCUUUGGACUUGGAGGUUUGCAGGCCUUGUACAUAGGUCAGCUCCUCUGAAAUGCAUUAGUGGAACCGUUUGCAGUUCGUUCACAGGUGUGAUAAUUAUCUACGCCAUAUGUGGACUGCUCUCUGUUUUUGUUCUGCUUCCAACUGUCCAGAAGGACAAACUUAUUACUGAAC